UAGAGUCGAGACAGUUUGAACCGUAAAUUCUAAAUUCUAAUUAUGAAAUAUGUUUUGUCUCACCGAAUUGAAAAACUGCGUACAUACAAAAACUUAAGCAAAACUUAAAAAACAAGACAACUAAAUAUUUAUUUAUUGAAACAAAUCGAUAGUAAACAUCUGGUAAUAGUAUGGUAAAUGCCCAAUGACUCGGAGUGCUUCUUAGCCUUCAUUCGUAAAUCCGCUAUGCUGGAAUUCUUGUGCGCUGCGGCAAAUGCGGCCAAAUGAAGCGGAUACUGCGGCAAUGCGAAAAGUCCAGCGGGUCUGCUUCUAUUACUUAUUGCCGCCGCAUACUGAAAUCACAAAAGCACAUAAGUAACUCAAUUCGUGAAUUAUGCUUUAUGCCACUACCUGGUGUGCAGCAGCGGAUAAAAUUGCUGGAUCGAAGGCGGAAAAUGCUGCUGCUGCUGCAACGCUGCCGGAAAAGUGUUCAGCUGCGGCCGACACUACAGCCGCUGGUGACGGAGCCCGAUUAUUUACAAUGCUGACGGCACUUUUCCCGGAUUGAUGCUGCACACUGCUUAAAGCGUUAGUUGAUGGCAUAAUAGACGUAUUUGUAUUGCGGAUAGUAGCCAAGUUUACAUAAGGUGCCACUCGGCAAGGCUCGAGAGGCGUUGACACCGGCGGGCUUCGGCUGCUUAGUAAUAUACCUGCAAUAUUUAACAUAUUUUGCAUGAAUCAAAAGAAGUAUUAAGUACAUAUCCCCAACAGUCCCUUAUACAAACAAAGAAACAUGAUCAAAUAUGCCCAGAGAAGUUCGUACCGGUGGAAACUGGAAAUACUGCUUCAUUGUUAAUUUGUGUUUCAAUCCAGUCCAUAAGAAACUCAAUAUAUUUCUGUGCAGGAAGCGCAGUGGGUUUCUUGUACCUAUAAUUGGAAGGCGCAAAUAAUUUACAUUAUAAUAACGCAUUACACGAUUACUUACAUAUCUCCAUCUGCCCAUAAAUACUCAUAUCGAGAGCCACCAGACAUUGUUGGACAAGUAGUCUCGUUGCAGUAUUCAGAUACGGUACCAUAUAUGAGAU